AGCAGUCGCCACGGUAAAACAGAGGGUGCGAGCGUUAAUCGGAUUUACUGGGCGUAAAGCGUGCGUAGGCGGCUUCUUAAGUCGGAUGUGAAAUCCCUGAGCUUAACUUAGGAAUUGCAUUCGAUACUGGGAAGCUAGAGUAUGGGAGAGGAUGGUAGAAUUCCAGGUGUAGCGGUGAAAUGCGUAGAGAUCUGGAGGAAUACCGAUGGCGAAGGCAGCCAUCUGGCCUAAUACUGACGCUGAGGUACGAAAGCAUGGGGAGCAAACAGGAUUAGAUACCCGGGUAGUCCCUGUCUCUUAUAA
rnacentral:rRNA from 1 species